CACCUACGGGAGGCUGCAGUAGGGAAUAUUGGGCAAUGGGCGAGAGCCUGACCCAGCCAUGCCGCGUGCAGGAAGACGGCCCUCUGGGUUGUAAACUGCUUUUGAAUGGGAAGAACGGUAGGCUUGCGAGCUUAAUUGACGGUACCAUUAGAAUAAGCCACGGCUAACUACGUGCCAGCAGCCGCGGUAAUACGUAGGUGGCGAGCGUUAUCCGGAUUUAUUGGGUUUAAAGGGUGCGUAGGCGGCUUAAUAAGUCGGUGGUCAAAGGUAGCAGCUUAACUGUUUUACAUGCCACCGAUACUGUUGAGCUUGAGAUAUGUGGAGGCAGAUGGAAUUUCCGGUGUAGCGGUGAAAUGCAUAGAUACCGGAAGGAACUCCUAUUGCGAAGGCAAUCUGCUACAGAUAAACUGACGCUGAUGCACGAAAGCGUGGGGAUCAAACAGGAUUAGAUACCCUGGUAGUCCACGCCGUAAACGAUGAUUACUAGUUGUUGGCAAGUUGUUGUCAGUGACCAAGGGAAACCGAUAAGUA
rnacentral:rRNA from 1 species